AUCAAUAUGGAACUCUUCAUUUUGGUCAGGUUGAGGAACAUUAGCCAUUUUGAAUGUUACCAUCAGUGUAUUACUGACACCUUGGUGCCUCCUUCUAAUCCUCUUAUUCACUGUUCCUUAUUUAAAAAUAUAAUUACAUCAGCCUAUGGAAAUAUAUCCAGAUCUGUAAUUGAUUGCUGGCUAAUUAGUCUGGAAGGUAAUUUUUCUGUAGGAGUUAGUUUUCCUAAAUAUUAAUGAGCAAUUAGAAUUCUAUUCUGAAAACAGACGACAUUGAGUUGAGGGUGAGUAGAAGGAGGCGAAGAAUAAAAUUCAAGUAAACAUGGUCCUUUAUCACAGGUUACUUAGUAUGUGCUCCUCUCUUUCUUGAAGGCUGAUACCUAGUAAUUUGAAUGAAAGUAAAUGAGUCUGCUCCAGGGUGACCCUCAUAAACAAAUGAGUCAUCUAACUAGGAAAGGAAACAAACAAAUACAGUUCUGUCAAAGAGAAGCAAGCAAAUGUCAGGGUUUGUCAUCACUAAGAAGAGGCCAGAAUGUGACUUUAGCUUGAGAUACCAAGGUAUCUCACAAUGUAUCAGCACAAUGUACUCCUAAGUAUAUGUCUAGAAUUUCAUAGUAUAAAAUGUGUUUCACUUAAAAAUAAUAGUUCCAUGGUGAAAUAAAUUUUGAAAUCUUUGGGAAAUGGUCAUAAUGCACUCAGUGAUUCUUCUUAAGUGUAUUGACUGGAGUUUCUACCUGUUGUAACAGAGGCAUUUGCCAAUCAAACGAGCCACCAACUCAAAAUAGAGGGAAAGUUUAUAUGUGCAGGUGAAUAAUCUGCCCAUCAAUCAAGCACAACUGGAAAGCAAAAUCUACCUACCUUGAAGCAUUUUUGAAAACGAAGGG